CUACGGGCGGCAGCAGUGGGGAAUAUUGGACAAUGGGCGAAAGCCUGAUCCAGCCAUGCCGCGUGUGUGAAGAAGGCCUUCGGGUUGUAAAGCACUUUCAGUGGGGAAGAAAGCCUUGGGGCUAAUACCCUCGAGGAAGGACAUCACCCACAGAAGAAGCACCGGCUAACUCCGUGCCAGCAGCCGCGGUAAUACGGAGGGUGCGAGCGUUAAUCGGAAUUACUGGGCGUAAAGCGCGCGUAGGCGGUCUGAUAAGCCGGUUGUGAAAGCCCCGGGCUCAACCUGGGAACGGCAUCCGGAACUGUCAGGCUAGAGUGCAGGAGAGGAAGGUAGAAUUCCCGGUGUAGCGGUGAAAUGCGUAGAGAUCGGGAGGAAUACCAGUGGCGAAGGCGGCCUUCUGGACUGACACUGACGCUGAGGUGCGAAAGCAUGGGUAGCAAACAGGAUUAGAUACCCCAGUAGUC
rnacentral:rRNA from 1 species